CAAAGAAGUCGUGGCGAAUUUGAAAAUUCUGCUCGCCAUUUUGACUCGAAGCUUAGCAAGAAAUUCAUAUUUUAAAAGCAUUUUAUCAAACUUUAUCGAAAUAAAAUAGUUAUGCCAUGCAAGGGGACAGGUUAGUAUUAAACUUAGCUAUAUUUUAAACGUUUGUGAGCUGUUCUUGUCAAGUUCUAGCCGUGUUUUGAAACACGUGCUACAAAUUCAUUGAAUUACUUCGCCUCCCAUCCACGCGCUUCUUUAUCGUUUAGUCGCUUCAUUUCCUUCGUAUUUCUCCCAAAUUUUCUCGCAAUAAUGUUCAGAAAAACCCCAGCUUUGAUUGAUAUAACUCUUAUUUGUUUUAUCUACUUUUUCAGACAACAAUUCGACGAGAAAGUUGACAAAGUUUACUGAUUUAAUUAAGUCGCCGACCUGCCGAAGACUCGAAGCACAAGGUAAGCAUAUAUGGCCCCGCAUCAAUGGGGUGGGGGGUAAAUAGGUUUUCGGAUCAUCGGAUUUCACAGAAAAAAUUGUUCGGAUUUCGGAUCUAGCGAAUAUUUUCCACAGAUUUGCGGAUCUUAUUAAUACAGCGGAUUGCAGAUUUAUCUAAUAUUUUGGCUCUGAUUGUGGAUUUAGCUUGCAAUUGGCUUACUGUAGUUUACGAAACGAAACGAAAUCUGCACUUUGCGAAAUCUGCAGUUUGCGAAAUCUGUAAUUUGCGAAAUUAGUCAUUGGCGAAAUCUGCAGUUUGCGAAAUCUGUAAUUUGCGAAAUAUCUAUAGUUUAGGGUAAAAUAAAAAAUGUUCACAUCUUCACAUAAAAAAUGUUUCCAAGGGCGAGGCGUCAGCAGUACAAUUAAAUUCUGUGUAAGUUAACCCAUUAAGCGCCAGCGCUCUCCCCUUGACGAGUAAAAUCGUCUGGCGUUAGACAGAGUAAAAUACUAAAGUAGGGUGCAUCAGGGUGCAAUGCGACUCAAUGGGUUAACCUAGUUAAUUAAGAACCUACCUGACUACACAAAGUCAUAAUUGCGAUAAAAUGUUAUCACAAUAAAUUGCUUUACUUGUAUUAGUUAUAUUUCAGUGUCAGUGUCAAAUAAACUUCUUUAUAUAAUUAUAUAUCUGAGACUGCAAAAUGUAAAAGUUUAAGAUUGAAAAUACACCAUUGCGCAGCGAACGAGUGAGAUAUUGUUUUUGACACGAGAACAUAAAUCCAUAUCUUUUCGCAACUGUUUAAUGUUCUGUUUAAUGUUCUGUUUAUUAUAUGGACUUACUCCGAGUGACAAAAAUACACACAAAGACGACAUGUAAAUAAGCACGCGAAAGACCAAUUAACAUCUCUCAAGAGUAGAAUUGCAUUGCAAGUUGCAAGAAAAAUUGCACCGUGUAACAUGGCCUUUAGCAUUCGACGUUUUGUUCUGGGACGUUAUGUUCUAAGUAAUCAAACAUUGCAAAUUUUUUUGGGACACCCGGGGUUAGGGUUGGGUGAUAUUUUGAUAUUUUGAUUUAUCGCGAUAUUUUCAUUCCCGAUUAUCAUGUCGAAGGUAGAAACUUGAGCGACGAUAUAUCAAAAUUAUCGUCAUGCUCGAUGACUAUCAUUAUAUUGCUUCGCAUGUGUAUAUAGAUUUUAUAAAAUCCUAAAAAAUUCUAAUAUUUAUGUAUCAAUCCGCUGAACAAUGAAAUUGCAAUGAAAUACACAGCAUUUGUGCCAGGGGAGACACAGUAUAGACAAUUCUCAAUUCUGGUUUAUGAGCAGUAAAUAUUAGACUAGAAAAAGCCUUCAUAUUACUUUGAUUUGUUGUUUUACUUUUUUUUAAUAAGAUUAUAUAUAAGCUUACUAUGCUUUGAUAUAAUUAAAAUUGAAAAAUGUGGCCAUUGUUGUUUUUUUUUGUUUUUUUUUUUAAUGAUUUGCCCAUGUGAUAUACCAUUAUGUUACAUAAAAAAUAAAAAUAAAGUAGAUACAUUUGGGCUAGGAGUCUAUAGAAACCUUGAACAGGCUUUUGGAUUUAGACCCCUAGUUUAAAGUCUUGGUGCUAAUAUAUGUAGUUAAAUUGUCAUCGGUACUAAGUAUUUACAAAAAGUGAGAUUAUGUUACAUUCAAUAUUUGUAGGAGAGUAUUUACUAUUAAUAAUUAAAAUGAGAAGCUCGAGUUAAAUAUCUAUUUACAUGAAGAGAAAUUACUGUUAAAGUGUUUUAUAAGAUUAAUUACAUAGAAAGUGUAUUUUGGAUUUUUUCUUAAAAAUGGGACGUGAUGUUAUUAUUUUUAAAUUACUGUCAAGAUUAUUCCAAACGUCCACCCCUUUCACUGAAAGCGAGUGCUUGACGUAGUUAGUUCUCUGAUAAGACUUAUGAAGUUUAGUUGAGUUUCGAGUGUUGUAUUGGUGAAUUUGGUUAUUUGAAAUAAAAAAGUUUGUGAAGAAUUUUGGCAAGUUGUUUAAAUGAUGAUAUCUGAACAUGAAAAGACUUGUAAGGUAGUUAUUUAAUUAGCUUACUGAGAUUCAAGAUCUGUAGGUCAAUAAAUAUUUUUUCAGUGUGAGAAAAAUUGGACUGAAAUGUCAUAAGACGAAUUAUUUUCUUUUGAAUAUUUAUUAACUUUUGAAUUAUGGUUUUGUAUGUGUUACACCAUAUUAGAUUGCCAUAGAUUAGAUAUGGAUAGACUAAAGCAUAAUAUAUUAGUUUUAAAGUAUUCAAAUUUGUAAAAUGACGAAUUUUUGCAAUAAUUCCUGCAGAUUUUACAAUUUUCUUUGCAACAGAAUCGAUAUGAUCGUUCCAUGAUAAACAUUCAUCAAUAACUACUCCUAAAAAGGUUGUAGUUUUGACUUGUUUGAUAUCGUCGUUAUUGAUGGACAACUUCACUACGUGUUUCUUUUUCUUUUUUGAGGAUCGAAAUAAAAUAAAUUUGGUUUUUAAUGUGUUGAUAGAUAGUUCGCUUGUGUUUAGCCAUUCGGCUAUUUUGUUCACUUCCGUCUGAAGAGUUUCAUUUAGUGUUUUGAGGCAUGAGUGACUGUAAAAUAUAUUUGUAUCAUCAGCAAACAAUAGCAUUGAUGCUAUAUCACUACAGUUUUGAAUAUCGUUUAUAUAGAGGGAUAAAAAGUAGCGGACCCAAUAUUGAACCUUGCGGGACCCCAGUUUGUACUAUCAUUUCGCUUGACAUUAUUUGUUUAUAUUUAACAAUUUGUUUCCUGUUUGUAAGAUAAUUUUUAAACCAAAGUCUUGCUAUGCCACGAAUUCCGUAAUAUUCUAAUUUACUGAUCAGAAUCUUGUGAUCAAUGGUGUCAAAUGCUUUUGACAAAUCUAAGAAAAUACCUAUGGUGUAUUUUCCGUGAUCGAUUUCUUUUGUAAUUUUAUUAACAAGUUCGAUUAUUGCAAGUUCAGUUGAUCUGUUUUUUCUGAAUCCAUAUUGAUGGUCAGAUAAAAUAUUAUUUUUUCCAUGUAUUUUAUUAGUCGUUUGUACAUUAAUUUUUCAAGUAAUUUAGCGAAACAAGUUAAAACUGAUAUUGGUCUAUAGUUUUCAAAUUUAUUUUCUUCAUUUGAUUUGAAUACUGGUGUUACCAGAGAAGUUUUAAUCUGUUCAGGAAUAAUACCUGUAGUAAAUGUCAGAUUAAAUAUAUGUGCAAGUGGUUUUGAUACUUCCUUACUUACUUGUUUAAUCGUUCUAGCACUCAGACCAUCAUACAGGGUCUUAGCUAGGAUUUUAGAUCUUGGGCGUGUUUCUAAUGACCAGGGCGUGCACAUGUCAAUUAUUUUGAAUAGCAAAAUCACGGUUCUAGUUAUGCUCGCCAACAACAACUAUGCUUGUGGACUGUUGUGGUUCUAUGCUUUGCAACCAAAUACAAGACGAGCAUACGCUCAUAUUGCGCACUGAGAUUAAAAUAUUAAGUUAUUUCAGCAACUCUUGGGGGUAUUUAAAACCAUUUUAACACCGUACAGUUCCCAUUAUCCAUCAAAAUAUUAAAACAUCACGGAUCAUUUUUGCCAAUUCAACAACAACAGUAGAUUUUACAAACUUUCUUAUGACGUAAAUAGGAAGAAAUUCUGUCUGUUGUAAGUAGCACCACCUUAUUUAUGAACCUACACGGCCUUAUAUAAAAAUAGUAAAGCCGCGUUAAUUUUAUCAAGCCGUGUUUUUCCGCUUUUGGCCGCGAUAACACGGCCAACACGGCCCUCUAGCUAAGACCCUGCCAUCAUACCCUGGGCUUUUAUUCGAGUUCAAAUUGUUUAUUUCACUUUGUACCUCAAAUUCUGUUAUCGGAUCAAGAAACAUGCUGUUUAGAUAAUUAUGAGUCAGAUAUUUGCUAAAAUUUGUAUUGGAUGUAUUUGUAAUUUCUUUGCUAGGUUAGGGUCCUAUAUUGACGAAGUAGUUAUUAAAUUUAUUUGCAAUUUCAAACUGAUCUUUAAUAGUAUUUGUUGUAUUCAUAUCAGUAAAUUCUUUCGGAAGUUCUUUUUUAUUUGUUUUUUUCUACUUAGUAUCUCAUUUAUUGUUUCCCACAUCAUCUUUGAAUCAUGUUUAUAUGUAAUUAGUUCUUGUUCAUAAUAUUUCUUUUUGGACAAUCGAAUUACAUGAUUGAAUCGAUUUUUAUAUUUUUUGUACAAAUUCUCAUUUAUUUUAUUUGGAUCAGAUAAAUAGUUACUGUAUAAUUUAUUUUUCCUUUUGAUUGACUUUAAAACACACUUUGUCAUCCAGGGGCUUUUGUACUUGUUAAUCUUCUGAUUUACUUUCAUUCUUUUAAUUGGAAAAUGUUUAUCAUAACUAGCUGUGAAUAAUGUGGAAAAUUGGUUAAAAGACUCGUUUGAGUUAUUGCAAGAAAUCGUUCCUUCCCAACAUACAUUUUUAAUUUCAUCUGUGAAAAGCCUACAAUUAUUUUUAUUGCAUUUAUCGCGAUAUUAUCGAAUAUCGUGAUAAUUUCCUUGACAAUAAUCGUGAGAUGAUUUUUUUAUUAUCGCCCAACCCUACUCGGGAUAGAGUCAUCCUUUGUAAAGCGAUGAUUGGGCUAAGAAAAUUUCAAUAUGUCAUUGCUGUUGAAAUGAGUUAAUUCAUCACUAAGGGCUGCUCAUAAUUUAUUGUACAGGGGGAGACUGAGGAGAAACUCUACAAUUAUAAUAUUUCUCGUUGCCUCCCUCUUAAGACAAGUAAAAUUUUCAAAGCCCCCCGCCCCUCUAGCUUUUUAUUAAUUUUGGUCCCCCCCCCCACCUCUAGCUUUUUAUCUUUAUUUAGAGAAACAAAAACUCUAGCUCUUUAUUUAGAGAAACAAAAAGAGAUAAUGGGGACCAAUAGACAAUUCCCAUUAUAGACUAAUUUUUUAUCUUAGCAAAAAGUAUAUUCCCGGGAAGGGUAUACUAAAAUUAAUAAAAUUGCAAAGUUUGGUUGUGCAAUGUUGUAAAAUGUAGGAAAUAUAGCCUUCCAAAGUUUGCAAAUUUUGUAUACUUUUGCAUUGCAAUUUUCGCAUGCAAUACAAAAGUAUACAAAAUUUGCAAACUUUGCAAGGCUAUAUUUUCCGUAGCUAUAGUGACUUAUUUGCAUCAAGGCCGGAUUUUGAGGGGAGUUGUGUGGAGAGAUGCGCACCCUGCCCUGAGAUCGUUUUGCAUCUCCCCUGAGAGUUUUCGCACCUCCUGAAAGGUCAUGCACCUCCCCUUGGGAAAGUUUCAAUGAUGGAACAAAGUGAAAAUGUGAUGGUUGCUUAGGAUCUACACUUUGUGACGUAAGAAAUUUUUCUCUGGAAAAUUGAAACAGUGAUAGCCAUUCAUCUCAGUGUCAAGUACCCUUUUAAUGCAAUGUUUUGAAAGAAACUUUGUAGCAAUUGUAAUGAAGGGUGAGAUUGGAGUCAUACAGUCAUAAUUCAUUAAUACACUGGUAUAUAUGUACACUACAUGCAUACCUCACCUCGUUGAUAUUGGCUGUUGUACAAUAAACCCUAACUUUCCAUGGGGGUUGUGAGCUAGACCGCUGCACCUCCCCUAAAAUUUUUUCCACCUCUUCCCACUAUUUUCACCAAAAUCUGGCCUUGAUCUAAAAUUAGUCUAUAAUGUCUAUUUACAUGAACAUAUUACGAAAGUCACCGAACUGUGGAAUCGCAUCAAAAAUUGGUAUAUCGACCACUCCCACAAACGCCUACGACCGCGCCUACAUAGUUUUGCAUGUUUACAAUUCUAAUUUUGAACAGCCAAUCAGGUUCUUGGUAACAACUACAAUUAAACGUCGAUUGACUGUUUAAAAUUAGAAUUGUAAACAUGCAAAACUAUGUAGGCGCGGUCGUAGACGUUUGUGGGAGUGGUCGAUAUACAAAUUUUUGAUGCGAUUCCACAGUUCGGUGACUUUCGUAAUAAGAGACUUUUUGUUUGACUUCCAUUUAAGAAUAUUAAAGGUCUAUAAACAUUGUUAUUUGUUGUUAAGUUGUUUUGUUACAUUUUUAAAACUGUUUUUUCAAACUGGUAAAUCUUUUCAAAGACCCCUAUCUUUCGUCUCUCUGUAAGUUUUCAAAGCCCCCCUUUCAGUAUUUCACAUUUCACGCCAACAAAUAUCAAAUUGUGGGGGCCCCUGUUGACUGUUAUUGUUUGACUGAGAUCCUAUAUUUAUGUUGAAUAUUUAUCAGUAGAAUGGAAAGUUCCAUGUCUGUAACAAUGAUAAUAACAGUCUUCAACACAUGUAACAACUUUUAAGAAUAACUUUUGUUCUAUUUGAGAUGGAAUACCGUCGUCGAUGGAGGGUUUAUUAUUUAGCAUUAUUAAUUUUGUAUUUUUCCAUUGAUUCGUAAACCUGCAUUUUGUACGUUUUCAGUCUAAUUUUCUGGGCGAUAGGCCGUGGCUGAUGGGGGCCCCUAGUUUUUGAACUAACCCUACCUAGUGAGCGUUACGCCACUGUCACCACGGCUCGCGAAAAUACCCUUUCCCACCCUCAUGUAUGUAUGUUGACCGAGCCUGGUUACAUGAUGUAACGGUAUUGCUUUAUCCAGUGCUGUAUACUGGUCAGUGGCUCAGACAACUUCGGAUUGUCCCGAUGUUGGCCCGAAGAGCAUAUUCUUAUUUAAUGCUGUAUUUUUGUUUUUCAAAAUGUUUAGUGAGCAAAGAUUGUUGUGUCACAGUCGUGGUUGGGUCAAACAAUAUGCGGAAAGCAAAAAUAGCGAAGGAAAGAGAUUAAAAUUAUAUUGGAUUUAGUUUUACUACCAAAUAUGGUAGUCCCCUCGUCCAUGACCUUGUGACGUCAGGUACAUACGGGACUUCGAGCAUAAAGUUUUUGGCGGGAAAAUUUGUAAGGUUUGGAGAAGACAAGAUGGCGCUGGUUACUUCGUUUCAUCAAAUGGAAUUUUUGUUCACAAAUACCCGCUUAUUUUACGUUAUAACGACUGUUUAUUUUUUGAAAUUAUAACUCAAUGGACAGGGAAAACAAUUCUGUAGUAAAGAGAAAAAGACGUGCAGCUAUUGUGAUGUUAUUUGUUGUGAAAGACGGCCCGAAAUUUCGCUGCAUCGCUGAGCGCCCUGAGCCUGUACUGAUUUAUAAAAAAAUUACAAGCAACAGCAAUUGCAACUAUAUGACGAAAAAACCAAAUACCAAUGUGUACAAGCCAAUCAAGUCCAACGUAUUGUCAUCUUUGGAUGUGUGAAAUAAGUUCAGUUGGAUUUGCAGAUGAAGCACUAAAGCACAUGGAAGGUCAGUUUUAAUUAGUUUUAUAUUAAGUAUAUUAUUGUAUACUAUUAUACAAGAAUGAUUUGAAAAUUUUCCUUCAAUGGUUGCUUUUUAUUGGUCGAAAGUUAAAUAUUGUUUUGACAAGAGAAAUGUUUCACAACAAUUUUCAGGAUGUUUAGAAAAUUUUUGGGCUUGGUUUGAAAUUCAAACCAAGCCAGGUUUGAAUUUUGAAAUUCAAACCAAGUCCAAAAAUCUACAAAAAACCGUUCUGCUCCCCUACUCUCCACUAAUAAACAUAAAAGGGCUGGGUGGGUGGGAUACUGUCGAGCCAUGCUGAGCAACAACAAAAAUAUGCUCAAAUAACCUGCACCACCCCAUAACACCCUGAUUUCAUCAGGCCCCCAGCAGUGUGUGAGAAAACAUUUUCCGCUUCUUUCGUGCCUCAGCCAGCGGAAAAUAACACUUUUUCUGUCAACACUAUUAUUUUUUCAACGUGAUUGACCAUGCAACCUUAUUUUCUCCGGGUGGUUGCGGGUUGCUGCCAAAAUGGCGUCUGUUGUCACGCUAAUUAUUGAAAAAACCAUGAAAAAAUAUUUUUAAAAAAAAUUUCCGACCUACCGACCCAAAUUUUUUGCGAUAUGAAACCGGAACCACAGGUAUUUUAUUUUAAGCCUUGGGUGGGAAAUGAUCUGAUACCAAUCUUCUAAACAUUCUAACUCUGAAUUUUUUGAAAAUUUCCUGUGGUCCGCCUCCUCAGUGCUCAGCCUAGAUCUUGAUUUUUGCCUGUGGUCUCUCUUUGCAUUUGAUCCAAAUUUUUCAAAACUGUUUUUUAUCAAUUGAAUGUGAUUAUUUUGAUGAGAGAACAUUUCUUGUGCUGCCCCAGGGUGCAUUUUAAGUGCAAUGUGCCGAAGAUCUUUGAAACAAUUAUUCCCCUAAGGGAAAGUGAUUACCUGUGAAUAUUAUACCUCAAAUUCAAAUUGCCCAAUGAAAAAACAUUUGCACCACAUGACAAUGUGAUUUUUUACAGUAUUUCACUCAAAUUCAUGAUUUUGCAAUGCAGCGUGAGAUAUAGAGAAUAUUAAUACAUGGUGCGCAGAAAUACCAGAUUUAUUUCGAGUGUUGAAGAUGAUAACAUAUAUACAUAUUGUUUAUAGACCCUCUGCUCGGGGGUUUGGAGAAAUAUUACCCUCAGUGACAGUGAUGAUAUUUCCUCGGGAAAUGGGUAAUAUUCCGCCGAAUUCGGGUAAUAUUCCGGCGAAUCCCCCUCGCUCCGGGUCUAUAAAUGAUAAAUAUGCACCGAGACAAAGUCGAGUCACUGAGCCUGGGGCGAAUAAUUGUUUUAGUAUAAAUGUUUAAAAUUAAUGAAUAAAACAAUAUAUCCAAAUAUCAGUUCAAUUAAAAUUCAGAAAUAAAACUUUUUUCGGCCUAUAAUUGUGACUAAAGCCGGUUUUCCAUUUCAAGUGUAACAACAUAUAUCAAAAAGUUCUUGAAUGUUGAUUGGUUAGUACUUCCAAAGUAUGCCAAAAAGUUGACUUGCAACAAACUUUUUAUUUUGAUACGUAAAUCCACCCGGAAGUACAUGGAUUUAUAAACCUCUUUUCAAUCUGCACAUGCUCACCAGUAUGUUUCAGUAUGAUACGGGCGAAGUGGAAAACCAGCUUAAUUUUAAUAUAGUGUUGCAGAAUGUUGCAGUAUUUCUUGUGUGCAUAUGCUUUCAAAAUGGCUUUUUUGUUAGUAAUUGUUACUUUAUUACAAAGUUGUUUUCCUCCAUUUCUGUUUAGAAUACAAACACAAUAACGGAAUAACAUUUUCAACAGACUUAGAAUUAAAACAUAGUUUCUGUUUAGAAAUGGCUGAGAAAUUUGGUAAAAUAAAAUGUAAAACUAUAUUGUUUGAAAUAAAGCUUUAAUAACACUUUUAACUUAACAAGUUUCGAAAACACAAUGCAGUGGUCAGAACAACAUACAACACAAUGAAAACAUGACAUAUCAAAAGAAAUAGUAUCGAACAAAUUGAGAAAUCUGUAGGAUACAAAAAAUGGAUUUAAAGGAAUAUCAUUUCAAGGUUUUUCCCAUCAGUCGGGAUAGUUUUUGUUAUUUGUUUUUGCUGAGUAAAUGUUUCAAAGUUUUAAAUAAGUUUUAUAUUGUCUGUGAAUAUGUUUGACACAGUAAAAUAUAGGAAUACUACCUUUCAAGAUGAAUACAACAUUUUCAAGAUAAAUACAACAUUUUGUGCUUCUUUCGUUUUCUGGGGACGAUUUUUUCAAUAUUUUGAAAACAAAUUUGCCGAAUCAUUAUUUUUGAAAAGCAUUUACUAGUCUGCUAGCCAAUCAGAAUGUGCAAAAGCUCCUUCAGAAUGUGCGAAAGCCAUUUCAUAUGCAAAAUUUAUACCACAGAUGAAGUAUAUACCAGAUGUGUAACUUAAUUAAUAGGAAUUUGUGUCCUCAAAUUUCCCUAGAUGUACACGUCAUGCUCACGCCAUAACACUUGCUAGGAAGAUGGCGUCCUGGAAAACAUGAACUUUUAACAGUAAUUGUUUUGAUGAGAGAAAUGUUUCUUGACAAUUUUCGGAAAGUUUGUAAGAUUUUGGGGCACUUGUUGAAUUUUGGGAAAAUUUAAAACAUUUUUAUUGGUCGAAACUAAUUGUUUUGAUGAUGAGAGAAAUGUUUCUUGACAAUUUUCAGAACAUUUUGAAGAUUUUGAGGCACUUUCCUGUGGCCCCCACUGUGCCAAGUCUAGGGUUGCCCGUAAUAGGUUUCCUGUGUACCUUUGCUUUUUACAAAUGCCAAUGCGGCAUAGGAAUUAUAAAUUCUGAAUAAUAUUUUGUAUGCCAAUAAGAUUUAAAUUUCCUAAGGGAAUUAUUGACAUAGAAAUUAUACAUUUGGGAAAAUAAUUUUGUUUGCUGCAUUCAAUCUAUUGACCAAUCAGGGAGAUUCUUUUGUAAAUACCCACAACCAAUCAGAAGUCUGUAUUUUUAUGCUAAAAGAGAAAUAGCAUUCCAGAGUAAAUUGUAUUCAAAUAUAUAUUUUUAAAUUUAGGGUGUGUUGUAGCUCUAUAUUUCGCCGUCCUGGUGUAGUUUACUCGAAGUCCUCGCCUGUUUGUGAAAAGAAGUACAUUAAAGAUCAAGCAUAACAUCCGAAGCUAAAGGCAUUAAGGUAUGUUCUGUUUCUAUCAAUUUGAUGUGAAAUGUUGAUAUUUUAGCAAGUUAGUCAAAUUUGACUUUUGCAAGUCAGUCGCUUAAGGCCAUGUUACACUGUGCAAUUUUUCUUGCAACUUGCAAUGCAAUUCUACUCUUGAGAGAUGUAAAAUUACCAAAUACGAGUUUUCAUUACUGAUGUUUUCUCAACAUAUCGAAAAUUCUUCACAUAUUUCGGUAAUUAACAUCUCUCAAGAGUAGAAUUGCAUUGCAAGUUGCAAGAAAAAUUGCACCGUGUAACCCGUGGCAUAACGCGGCCUUUAGCAUUCGAUGUUUUGUUCUGGGACGUUAUGUUACAUUUAUUUAAUUAAAUCAAACAUUGCAAAUUUUUUUGGGACACCCAGGAUUAGGGUUGGGUGAUAUUUUGAUUUAUCGCGAUAUUUUCAUUCGCGAUUAUCAUGUUGAAGGUAGAAACUUGAGCGACGAUGUAUCGAAAUUAUCGUCAUGCUCGAUGACGAUUAUAUUGCUUCGCAUUUGUAUAUAGGUUUUAUAAAAUCCUAAAAAAUUCUUUCAAUUCCUAGAAAAUAUAGUUUUUAAAAGAAUUAAAAUUAUUUCCUGAAUGUAAUAUGAAUUUAAGGUGGCUCCCUAGGGUUUUUUAAUUUACUACACUAUAGUAUUCAGGAGACUCCUGUUUCUUUACUUUACAUGAUAUGAAGACGAAAUUUAUUGGACACAUUGACAAUGUUCUCCUGAACAUUGCAAAUUGCUACUUCUCACACACUGCUUGGAGCUGCUGCAGCGUCAGCCGCAAGCUUGACAUUUAUUAAUUUAAACUACCAUACAUUACAAUUGCUCGCUUAAUAAUUACCCUAACAGGUACAUAUAUAUCCAAUCCAACGCCGUUCUGUACUAAUAAACAUAAAAGGGCUGGGUGGGCGGGAUACUGUCAAGCUACGGUGAGCAACAACAAAAAUAUGCUCAUAUAACCUACACUACCUUGUAACACCCUGAUUUCAUCAGGCCCCCAACAGUGUGUGAGAAAACAUUUUCCACUUCUUUCGUGCCUCAGCCAGCGGAAAAUAACACUUUUGUGUUUAAAAAUAUGUUGCCAUGGCAACAGCAUGCUUAGAAUAAAGUUCAAAAUAUGUCUUUUUCAGGUCAUUUUAAAAUUUCCUUAGGUGAAAUUUUUUAAAACUUUGCAUAAAAGAUAAUACAAUUUAAAAAAAUUAAAUCGAUACGUUUCUUAGAAAACUUAAAAAACGUCAAAAAUCAAUAUUAAAAAUUUUCCCUUCGAUUUAAUUUUAAGGAAAAAGGAUAUUGCACUUGUUGUGCCGAUAUUAAAAAAUGUGCAAAGUUUUAAAAAAUUUUACCGAAGGAAAACAGAGAAAUUUGGGUUUAAUUUUGGCAAUUUUUUCUAGAUUUUUACGCGAACAAUUUACCCCAAUUGACGUGUACAUGCAUUUUGCAUAAAACAACAAGGCAUACAUAACUUUUUUGAAAUCACAAAAUAUAAAUUAAUAUGUUUGAUAUAUUGUUUAUAACUGUGUCGGUUAAUGGUCAACUAAGCGUGGAUUAUACAUGUAAAAAUGGCAAAGAUAUUUAGGUAAUUACUGGUUAUGACUUCUUGGUAUUUGAAAAAUGUUUUCAAAAUUUGUCCUGUGCGAGUUUAUAGUACUAUUGUCGGAUGUUUUCGCAAAAUGCCCGUUCAAAUUUCAGUUGUUAUAGUGGUAAUUGUUUGGAGUUUUGGCCCUGCUCAUUUCACCCGUAGAGGGCUCAUUAUUUAAGUCAUCCUUAUUGUCAUAAGUGCUGCUAGAUUGUGGAGAAAACACUGCAAAUUCUUGAGGAAACUUUAUAUCAUAUCCCAAUGUUUGCGAUCGAACCUCGUAUACGGCGAGAAUACCGUUCAAAAAACAUCCAGAAUACCGCUUGAAAAAAAAAAAGUUUACAUUAUCUUCUUUUGAAACAUGACAUCCAAGUAUCGUUUUGGCUUUUAGAACUCUUUUAUGCUUUCAACUAAAGCAAAGUUCACACUUUUGUUUCAAAAAAGAGUUCCAUAUAAAACACAACGUUACAGUUCGUAUUUUAGUUUACAUAUAUACGAAGAACGUAACCCCGGAAAUAAAACCCUAGAGAGCCAUCUUAAUACGAUUCAAAAGCUAAUAUUUAUGUAUCAAUCUGCUGAACGAGAAAUAUUAUAAUUGUAGAGUUUCUCCUCAGUCUCCCCCUGUACAAUAAAUUAUGAGCAGUCCCUUAGUGAUGAAUUAAGUCAUUUCAACAGCAAUGACAUAUUGAAAUUUUCUUAGCCCAAUCAUCGUUUUACAAAGGAUGACUGUAUCCCGAGUAGGGUUGGGCGAUAUUAAAAAAUCAUCUCACGAUUAUAUUGUCAAGGAAAUUAUCACGAUAUUCGAUAAUAUCGCGAUAAAUGCAAUAAAAACAAUGGCCACAUUUUUCAAUUUUAAUUAUAUCAAAGCAUAGUAAGCUUAUAUAUAAUCUUAUUAAAAACAAGUAAAACAACAAAUCAAAGUAAUAUGAAGGCUUUUUCUAGUCCUAAUAUUUACUGCUCAUAAACCAGAAUUGAGAAUUGUCUAUACUGUGUCUCCCCUGGCACAAAUGCUGUGUAUUUCAUUGCAAUUUAAUGAAAUUGCAAUGAAAUACACAGCAUUUGUGCCAGCGGCGACACAUUCAGAAAUAUCCCCUGUUCCCCUCUUUUGAUUUGACCAAAAUAUUCCAAUUCAUGUUUUUAUCAUUUGAAAGUAAUUGUUUUGAUUAAAAGAACAAUUUACAAUUUUCAGAAGGUUCACAUUAUUUUUCUACUUAUAGACUCAUAAUUGUGCGACAGAACUCCUAGUUAUAGACUAAAUAAUCUUUACCAUGAGAUUGUGUGGACAACAUAGUUUGAGUUCUUUUAACCAUCCUUGAACUUUUGUUCAAGCCUAGUGACUUAGUACAUGAAAAUCAUCCCACCUUUCAUCCUGUCCUGAUAAACUGGGAUCAUGUAGACAGCACAUUUAGCCAUUAACCCAUUAAGCGCCAGCGCUCUCCCCUUGAUGAGUAAAAUCGUCUGGCGUUAGACAGAGUAAAAUACUAAAGUAGGGUGCAUCAGGGUGCAAUGCGACUCGAUGGGUUAAGUUGAUUUGCACCCUAAUUUACCUACUUAUAUUAUUUAACUCUGUCUAAUGUCAGACAAUUUUAUUAAGCAGGGGGAGCACUAGCAGUUAAUGGGUAUAAACUAGGCAUAUGGGCAUUCUCAUUAUGAAGCAUAAAAUCGUCUGGCGUUGGACAGUAAAAUACUCAAGUAGAGCAUGCAUCAGGGCACUGUAUACAACCUAAUGGUUUAAUUUUUUGUACCAAAAUGGUUUAAGUUUUAUAUCUGAAUUAAUUGAUUUUUUGCCUUGUUUUACAGAUCAUUACUGAUGAAUUGUGACUAUACUAAAUGGAUACAAAGAGACUAUGAUGGAUAAAUAUGGCCCCGUAAUGGGAUAUUCAGUUGAUGGACAUACAAAGGUCACAGAAAUGUCUACUUUCAGGUACUGUUCUUUCUUGUUUGCCUGCAGGCUGUAGAUACUUGUACCCAGGCCAUUGUUUGUUUUGUUGUUCUGGGUACAAUGAAAUCCGGCAUAAAUCCUGGCGGUCUAAAUGUUCAGUAUAUUUACACAUUCAAUCUAUUUUCUGUUCAGUAGACUUUGAUAGCUUGAAUGAAAGUUUACGAUGAUUUUCUUUGCAAAAACUGUACUUUCGAAAUUCAUCAGCUUCUGAAUUUGAAAACGGAUCU